rnacentral:rRNA from 1 species
UACGGGGGGUGCGAGCGUUGUCCGGAAUCACUGGGCGUAAAGGGCGCGUAGGUGGUCUUGUAAGUCUGUGGUGAAAGCCCGGGGCUCAACCCCGGGUCUGCCAUGGAUACUGUGAGACUAGAGUGCUGUAGAGGCAGGUAGAAUAUCGGGCGUAGCGGUGGAAUGCGUAGAGAUCCGAUAGAAGACCGGUGGCGAAGGCGGCCUGCUGGGCAGUAACUGACACUGAGGCGCGACAGCGUGGGGAGCAAACAGG